rnacentral:rRNA from 1 species
GCCGGAGGAUGCAAGCGUUAUCCGGAAUUAUUGGGCGUAAAGGGUGCGUAGGUGGUCAGACAAGUCCCAUGUCAAAGCAUGGUGCUUAACGCCAUAAAGGCGUGGGAAACUGUGUGACUAGAGUACAGCAGGGGCAGGAGGAAUUCCCGGUGUAGCGGUGAAAUGCGUAGAUAUCGGGAAGAACACCAGUGGCGCAAGCGUUCUGCUGGGCUGUAACUGACACUGAGGCACGAAAGCUAGGGGAGUGAAAGGG